rnacentral:rRNA from 1 species
AGAGUUUGAUCAUGGCUCAGAACGAACGCUGGCGGCAUGCCUAACACAUGCAAGUCGAACGGGAUCCAGGCUUCGGCCUGGUGAGAGUGGCGGACGGGUGAGUAACGCGUGGGAACCUGCCCAAUGGUCUGGGAUAACCGCGGGAAACUGCGGCUAAUACCGGAUAAGCCCGAGAGGGGAAAGAUUUAUCGCCGAUGGAGGGGCCCGCGUCAGAUUAGGUAGUUGGUGGGGUAAUGGCCUACCAAGCCUACGAUCUGUAGCUGGUCUGAGAGGAUGAUCAGCCACACUGGGACUGAGAUACGGCCCAGACUCCUACGGGAGGCAGCAGUGGGGAAUAUUGGACAAUGGGCGCAAGCCUGAUCCAGCAAUGCCGCGUGAGUGAUGAAGGCCUUAGGGUUGUAAAGCUCUUUUGGCGGGGACGAUGAUGACGGUACCCGCAGAAUAAGCCCCGGCUAACUUCGUGCCAGCAGCCGCGGUAAUACGAAGGGGGCGAGCGUUGUUCGGAAUUACUGGGCGUAAAGGGCGCGUAGGCGGCCGAUCAAGUCAGAUGUGAAAGUCCUGGGCUUAACCUGGGGACUGCAUUUGAUACUGAUUGGCUUGAAUCCGGGAGAGGAUAGCGGAAUUCCCAGUGUAGAGGUGAAAUUCGUAGAUAUUGGGAAGAACACCAGUGGCGAAGGCGGCUAUCUGGACCGGCAUUGACGCUGAGGCGCGAAAGCGUGGGGAGCAAACAGGAUUAGAUACCCUAGUAGUCC